GACGAACGCUGGCGGCGUGCUUAACACAUGCAAGUCGAACGGAAAGGCCCUGCUUUUGUGGGGUGCUCGAGUGGCGAACGGGUGAGUAACACGUGAGUAACCUGCCCUUGACUUUGGGAUAACUUCAGGAAACUGGGGCUAAUACCGGAUAGGAGCUCCUGCUGCACGGUGGGGGUUGGAAAGUUUCGGCGGUUGGGGAUGGACUCGCGGCUUAUCAGCUUGUUGGUGGGGUAGUGGCUUACCAAGGCUUUGACGGGUAGCCGGCCUGAGAGGGUGACCGGCCACCUUGGUACUGAGAUACGGCCCAGACUCCUACGGGACGCAGCAGUGGGGAAUCUUGCACAAUGGGCGGAAGCCUGAUGCAGCAACGCCGCGUGCGGGAUGACGGCCUUCGGGUUGUAAACCGCUUUCGCCUGUGCCGAAGCGUGAGUGACGGUAAUGGGUAAAGAAGCACCGGCUAACUACGUG
rnacentral:rRNA from 1 species